rnacentral:rRNA from 1 species
UACGUAGGGUGCAAGCGUUGUCCGAAAUUAUUGGGCGUAAAGAGCUUGUAGGCGGUUUUGUCGCGUCUGCUGUGAAAUUUCGGGGCUCAACCCCCGAACUUGCAGUGGGGUACGGGCAGACUAGAGUGUGGUAGGGGGAGACUGGAAUUCCUGGUGUAGCGGUGAAAUGCGCAGAUAUCAGGAGGAACACCGAUGGCGAAGGCGGCUCUCUGGGACGGUACUGACGCUGAGACGCGAAAAGCGUGGGGAGCGAACAGG